rnacentral:rRNA from 1 species
UAUCGGCGGACGGGUGAGUAAGGCUUAGGAAUCUGCCUAUUAGUGGGGGACAACAUCUCGAAGGGGAUGCUAAUACCGCAAACGUCCUACGGCAGAAAGCAGGGGAUCUUCGGACCUUGCCCUAAUAAAUGAGCCUAAGUCGGAUUAGCUAUUUGGUGGGGUAAAGGCCUACCCAGGCGACGAUCUGUAUCGGGUCUGAGAGGAUGAUCCGCCACACUGGGACUGAAACACGGCCCAGACUCCUACGGGAGGCAGCAGUGGGGAAUAUUGAACAAGGGGGGAAACCCUGAUCCAGCCAUGCCCCGUGUGUGAAUAAGGCCUUAUGGUUGUAAAGCACUUUAACCGAGGAGGAGGCUACUUUAGUUAAUACCUAUAGAUAUUGGACGUUACUCGCAAAAUAAGCACCGGCUAACUCUGUGCCACCACCCGCGGUAAUACAAAGGGUGCGAGCGUUAAUCGAAUUUACUGGGCGUAAAGCGUGCGUAGGCGGCUUAUUAAUUCGGAUGUGAAAUCCCCCAGCUUACCUUGGGAAUUGCAUUCGAUACUGGUGAGCUAGAGUAUGGCAGAGGAUGGUAGAAUUCCAGGUGUAUCGGUGAAAUGCGUACAGAUCUGGAGGAAUACCGAUGGCGAACGCAGCCAUCUGCCCUAAUACUGACUCUGACGUACGAAAGCAUGCGUAGCAAACAGGAUUAUAUACCCUGGUAGUCAAUGCCCGUAAACAAUGUCUACUAACCUGUUGGGGCCUGUUGAGGCUUU